CCGGCGUCAAGCUCUCUCCUUUCUUCUCUUUUUCACCGUCGGUUGAACACUUACGGAACCACUCCCUCUCUUUUCUCCGCCGGCCGAUCCCUCUCUUUCCCUCUCUACGGCUUCCUCUUCUCAGAUCUCACCCCCCUUUUCUUUUUUGUUUUUUUUUGGUUCCUUGUGGCUAGGCUUCUUUUCUGGUAGAUCUAGGAUUUUUUUGUUCUUUGUUCUUGUUUUUUUUUUUUUUU
rnacentral:lncRNA from 1 species